AGAAUCAACGCUGGCGGCGUGCCUAACACAUGCAAGUCGCACGAGAAAGGGACUUCGGUCCUGAGUACAGUGGCGCACGGGUGAGUAACACGUGAAUAAUCUACCUCCGAGUGGGGAAUAACUGAGAGAAAUCUUAGCUAAUACCGCAUAACACUUACGAGUCAAAGCAGCAAUGCGCUUGGAGAGGAGUUCGCGGCAGAUUAGUUAGUUGGCGGGGUAAUGGCCCACCAAGACGAUGAUCUGUAUCCGGCCUGAGAGGGCGCACGGACACACUGGAACUGAAACACGGUCCAGACUCCUACGGGAGGCAGCAGUGGGGAAUUUUGCGCAAUGGGGGAAACCCUGACGCAGCAACGCCGCGUGGAGGAUGAAAUCCCUUGGGAUGUAAACUCCUUUCGAUAGGGAAGAUAAUGACGGUACCUAUAGAAGAAGCCCGGCUAACUCGUGCCAGCAGCCGC
rnacentral:rRNA from 1 species